UAAGAGUGUAGGCGUUGAGGAUGGCAGGCAAAUCCACCGUCCGAGCUGAACUUGAGAGUAUGGAGUCUUCUUCGGAAGAAUCCAAUAGUGUGGGUAAUCAUACUCCCGAGAAAAUCCGCUAAGCUUAACCCAUGCGGCACCCGUACCGCAAACGGACACACGUGGUCGGGUAGAACAUACUAAGGCGUUGAGAGAUUCAUGGUUAAGGAACUAGGCAAAUUGACCCUGUAACUUCGGGAUAAAGGGUCCUCGUGAAUAGCGAGGCGCAGAGACUAGGUCCAGGCAACUGUUUAACAAAAACACAGGGCUGUGCAAACUCGAAAGAUGACGUAUACAGCCUGACACCUGCCCGGUGCCGGAAGGUUAAGAGGAGAUGUCACUCGCAAGAGGAAGCAUUGAAUUGAAGCCCCGGUAAACGGCGGCCGUAACGAUAACGGUCCUAAGGUAGCGAAAUUCCUUGUCGGGUAAGUUCCGACCUGCACGAAUGGUGUAAUGAUCCGGACGCUGUCUCAACCAUGAGCUCAGUGAAAUUGUAGUAUCGGUGAAGAUGCCGAUUACCCGCGAUGGGACGAAAAGACCCCGUGAACCUUUACUACAGCUUAGCAUUGACCUUGGUCAUCCGAUGUGUAGGAUAGGCCGGAGGCUUCGAAGCGGGAGCGCCAGCUUUCGUGGAGCCAUCCUUGAAAUACGGCCCUUUGGCUGUCUGAGGUCUAACGCGCGAUGCGCGGACACUGCUUGGUGGGUAGUUUGACUGGGGUGGUCGCCUCCAAAAGCGUAACGGAGGCUUCCAAAGGUGCCCUCGGGUCGAUUGGUAACCGACCUCAAAGAGUGCAAUGGCAUAAGGGCGCUUGACUGGGAGGCAGACAUGCCGAGCAGGCAGGAAACUGGGGCAUAGUGAUCCGGCGGAUGUGUAUGGAAACUCCGUCGCUCAAAGGAUAAAAGGUACUCCGGGGAUAACAGGCUGAUCCCCCCCAAGAGCUCAUAUCGACGGGGUGGUUUGGCACCUCGAUGCCGGCUCGUCACAUCCUGGGGCUGGAGAAGGUCCCAAGGGUUGGGCUGUUCGCCCAUUAAAGUGGCACGCGAGCUGGGUUCAGAACGUCGUGAGACAGUUCGGUCUCUAUCUAUCGUGGGCGUGGGAGUUUUGCGUGGUGCCGUCACUAGUACGAGAGGACCGUGAUGGACAGACCUCCGGUUUACCAGUUGUGCCGCCAGGCGCACCGCUGGGUAUCUGAGUCUGGAUUGGAUAAGCGCUGAAAGCAUCUAAGUGCGAAGCCAGCCGCAAGAUGAGAACUCCAUUGAGGGUCGUCAGAGACGAUGACGUUGAUAGGAUGCAGGUGUAAAGACAGCGAUGUCAAAGCCGAGCAUUACUAAUUGCCC
rnacentral:rRNA from 1 species